rnacentral:tRNA from 1 species
GCGGAGGUGGCGGAGUGGUUAAACGCGCCGGCCUUGAGAGCCGGUUCGCUUCGGCGAGCGGGAGUUCGAAUCUCUCCCUCCGCG